AUAAAGCUUAAGAGCAGGUUGGGGCCUAAAGAGGAAAAUCUUAACUAAUAGGAGGCUUAUUGGAAGGGAUGAAAGUAAGGUAUGAUUGGAUGAAGGCAAAUAAUAGAAAACUUCAUUCCUAUUGGUCGAAGGCUAUGCCCAAUAGGCUUCAAGGAGGCUGCCCGAGGCCUUAUUAGGAAUUAUGAUUUCUCUUUUGAAGG
rnacentral:lncRNA from 1 species